rnacentral:lncRNA from 1 species
UAGUAACAAAGGGAUACUCAUCAUCGAUGAUUCUUGGUAGGAAAAUGACACCCACUUCUAAUAAUUUGAAUAUUCUUGUAGUGUGUUGUACAUUGUGUGUCAACUAAACACUUAUCAUUUCCAGACUCACAUCUUGGCAUUUCAUUUUCAAAGUCAUAAACUCUACCUUUAAGAUCCUAUUUUACUUAUUAUUGUCUAAUAAUCACUACAUUAAACUAUCGACCCUUAUAUUCUAAAACGGACAAAACUCCUAAGCAAAUAAAUAAUUCACUUAAUUAUAUUAUAUUUAAGUUUAUGCUAACAAAACUCUUCCAUAAACUUAAAUAUUUCCAAAUCUUCCUCUUUCCCGCUUUCCUCCUCUAGAGCAUCCUCUUCAUCAUCAUUGUCGUCUUCCUCAUCAUCGUCUUCAACCUCACUUAAAAGUGUGAUCUCGUUCCCCUCCACUUACUCUUUCAAUUCCUCUUAGACCUUCAUCUCAUGAUCAACCAAGCUAACCUUAUCCAUUACAUGACUCCCCAUGUUCCUUUUUGGGCUAUCGAAGAUCUCCACACUUUUUGCCAAGCUUUCUAGGCUAUCAAGACAUCUCAUCAAGUUUGAUAGGGCUUGUCUCAUGUUCCACCAAGCUCUCUACAUUCUCCUUCGAGCUCUGUAGAAGCACCAACAAGCUAACCAGGUUGGUCUCAUAUUCUACCGAGCUACUUGGUCUCCACAAAGAGAUAUCUGAGGUUCCCACCUACUCUCCUAGGCUAAUCGUCCUCUCCAAUUGCUUGUCCGAGCUUUCCACCGAGUUCUCCAAAAAAAUCUCCAAUGAGAUCUGCACCGAGUUGUUAUGGUACCUCCAUGGGCUUUCCAAGCUUUCCUUUUCCCUCUCCGAGCUACUUAGUUGUUUGGCCGACCUAUCCAUGAUAGUCAACUACCUAGCCGAGUUCCCCUUGCUACUUGGUUGUUUAUCCGAGUUCACUACACUACUUGAAUGUUUUUUCUGAGUUCUCUUUGUUGUUAAGCAUUUUUUCCGAGUUCUUCUUGUUGAGAUUGUUGACAACACAAUUUCUAUAUCACUCUAGUUUUUUAUGAUGACAACACAUUGCUUAAUAACAUGCAUAUGUUUUUGU